CUGUCCUGCGGGACGCAGCAGUGAGGAAUAUUGGUCAAUGGGCGCAAGCCUGAACCAGCCAAGUCGCGUGAGGGAAGACGGCCCUACGGGUUGUAAACCUCCUUUGCCGGGGAGCAAGCCUGAGCGCGUGUGCCCAGGCGGAGAGUACCCGGAGAAAAAGCAUCGGCUAACUCCGUGCCAGCAGCCGCGGUAAUACGGAGGAUGCGAGCGUUAUCCGGAUUUAUUGGGUUUAAAGGGUGCGUAGGCGGAACAUUAAGUCAGCGGUAAAAUCGAGGGGCUCAACCCCUUUAAGCCGUUGAAACUGG
rnacentral:rRNA from 1 species